UACGUAGGGGGCAAGCGUUAUCCGGAUUUACUGGGUGUAAAGGGAGCGUAGACGGCAGGGCAAGUCUGGAGUGAAAGGCAGGGGCCCAACCCCUGGACUGUUCUGGAAACUGUCCGGCUGGAGUGCAGGAGAGGUAAGUGGAAUUCCUAGUGUAGCGGUGAAAUGCGUAGAUAUUAGGAGGAACACCAGUGGCGAAGGCGGCUUACUGGACUGUAACUGACGUUGAGGCUCGAAAGCGUGGGGAGCAAACAGG
rnacentral:rRNA from 1 species